GAAUACUCAUGGCAGUUGUUCUCGAGUCAACAGUACACUGAACUGAGAAUCAUCUCUCUCUGACAUGUCCGACAUGCUGAGAACUGAUGAGUGAGCUGCUGAUUCUGUCUAUGAAAGCCCUGACAGCUAUUUGGAAGGUGCAAGUACUGCCAGCCAAAGGAUAGAAUACUGGUGGGGGUUUCUGUGCAAGGAAUGCAUGGAAUAUUGGAUUUCCCUGUUUGCUGACCUCAGGGACAAUGGAUUCUUCGAUGGCGGAUUCUUGGACAAAAGUCUGCUCCAAUUCUGCUGCAUGGUUACUCAUCCAAGAUGAGCUUGAUGACACUGCACAGGUUUGGAAUGCACACACCAUUAGACCAUCAAAGAACAUCAGCAAACCCAGUGGAUGGCCCAUUGUGAUGUAUGGACUGCCUGAACUCUACCUCACCAGAGACUUCCUCACCUCAGCUGACACUGAAAGUGUUCAAUUGUGCAAAAAUGAAUGCACUUUCUAAAGCCCCAUACCGUGUGAUCCAGAUGUAAAUGAACUGUGUAACGUUAUCAUUUCUGAGUCUCAGUUGAACCUUCCAAGAGACCCAUAUCAAGCUGUGAACUUAUACAUGCAUUUAAGGGAUGUGAUCAGGGCAUUACUGUAACAACUGCAAGGCUCUUUGAAAUGUCUUACAUAUUUAGUAGACAAUACCCCUGCAGAAAUCCUGCAAUAUCGUAAAAUGUUUUUAUGAAGAAUUAGAAUUUACCAAACCUCAAUAUUGAUACAUGAAGAAUUAGAAUUUACCACAUUACAAUAUUGAUACAUAAAACUCAUUAAAGAA